rnacentral:rRNA from 1 species
UGCCGCGUGUGUGAAGAAGGCCUUCGGGUUGUAAAGCACUUUUGUCCGGAAAGAAAUCCUUGGCUCUAAUACAGUCGGGGGAUGACGGUACCGGAAGAAUAAGCACCGGCUAACUACGUGCCAGCAGCCGCGGUAAUACGUAGGGUGCGAGCGUUAAUCGGAAUUACUGGGCGUAAAGCGUGCGCAGGCGGUUUGCUAAGACCGAUGUGAAAUCCCCGGGCUCAACCUGGGAACUGCAUUGGUGACUGGCAGGCUAGAGUAUGGCAGAGGGGGGUAGAAUUCCACGUGUAGCAGUGAAAUGCGUAGAGAUGUGGAGGAAUACCGAUGGCGAAGGCAGCCCCCUGGGCCAAUACUGACGCUCAUGCACGAAAGCGUGGGGAGCAAACAGGAUUAGAUACCCUGGUAGUCCACGCCCUAAACGAUGUCAACUAGUUGUUGGGGAUUCAUUUCCUUAGUAACGUAGCUAACGCGUGAAGUUGACCGCCUGGGGAGUACGGUCGCAAGAUUAAAACUCAAAGGAAUUGACGGGGACCCGCACAAGCGGUGGAUGAUGUGGAUUAAUUCGAUGCAACGCGAAAACCUUACCUACCCUUGACAUGGUCGGAAUCCUGCUGAGAG